UCUCUAUCUUUCACUCAAUUGCGUAUUCAAAAUUGUUAGUGAUUUCAGUCAGUUUGUUGGUACGAAUUCGUACUAGGAAAUACGCAAGGAGGCAUGUUGUUUGUUAAUUAAUUCUUAGUUUUUUUCAUUUUAUUUCAUAUAAGAAUAGGUCUUGAUUUGAGUAAAUUAUCAAUCAUUCGGUCUGAAUUUGGAAUUCUGAUAGCCGCGUAAUUAUGACUUGGAACUGGAAAAUUUGUUCAUAGCAAUGAAUUCUGUCUUAUUGUAUUCUAAUUUAUCAUGAAAAUUCGUCUCAUUGUUGAAGAUUCUAGAGUUGAUGUGGCGUUGUUGCCCUAUUUGUUUUGUUCCUUGUGUAUUCUUUUUCUUCUUAUGUCUGAUAAUGCUUGUAAGUUGAUGUUUGAAUUUUAAUUAGCUGAUUAAACAUUUUCUGUUCCUCCAUUACAACUUAGAAGUUGCUGAUUGAAGUAAUUUCGAUCCUAACAUGGAUUUUGGACAACUUCAUUGUUUUGGUCACAGGGCUAACUUCAUUGAUCCUUAUAGUAAUGUUACUGUUUUGGCCGCUGGUUGAUGUUUUGGUCAUAUGCUUUUAAUUGAUGCUUGAAAUUUCUAUUUCCGCAGCUAGGUUUAUAUGCAUGAACCAGAAUGGGUUGCUGGUUCUCAAUCUUGAAUCAUCAAUCCAUAUGGUUUGGUUUUCGAUUGUGUAGGAGCUAGUAAAGAUGAAGAUAUAUGCAAGGAGGUCCAUUUACAUAAAGGAGAUGUCUGUGAGGAGUCCUAAAGCUUGUGAUUUGGACUUGAAGAAAAGAGAGCAGGCAGUAACAUGCCAGCCAGUACCAUGUCAAAAAGGGAGGUUCUCCUACCUAGACGUCGCUGCCUUGUCAGGAUACCGUACUCUCUAGAUAGCCUUGAAAGACUGCUGCACUUUGAGGAGUGUAGGUAGCUAUUGGUCUUGCUUUUGGAGUGGAAUAUGUGUUCUGGUUGGGGUUUAUUUCACUGACACAGUCAUAGCGAUUUUGCUGGCUCUUGAGCUACCUUGCUUACAUCACUGUGAAUUCUCUUCAGAGUUAAUAUAUUGCAGUUCAAUUAUUUCUCAUUGCUGGGACUGCUUUGACAACCAACAAAGCUUGCAUCACUUCCGGUAUGCUUCUUAUAUUUUGUGAUCCUAUCAGUUAUUGUUUCGACUGUUUGGAGCCACUUAGCAGUUUAGUUAUAUUUAAGUUGUUGCAUCUUAAAUGAAAGAAGUUUCCCCAAGUGUAUGGAACAAUGUAAAACAAAAUUUUGGAACUAUAUCACAUUGAAUUGUUUGGACCCUUGCCUUUGUAGAGUGAUCCUUUUGGAAUGAAACCUAAAUCUUUUAGAAGAA